UACAGAGGGUGCGAGCGUUGUUCGGAAUUAUUGGGCGUAAAGGGCGCGUAGGCGGUGCGGUAAGUCACCUGUGAAAUCUCCUGGCUCAACUGGGAGCUUGCAGGCGAAACUGCCGUGCUGGAGUGUGGGAGAGGUGCGUGGAAUUCCCGGUGUAGCGGUGAAAUGCGUAGAGAUCGGGAGGAACACCAGAGGCGAAGGCGGCUAGCUGGACAGUAACUGACACUCAACUACGAAAGCGUGGGGAGCAAACAGGA
rnacentral:rRNA from 1 species